UUCUCAGCUCCCCUUUUGUUUCUCUGCCUGCCGCCUUGCCCCAGCCAUCUCCUUUUGCUUUCAGGCAAACCCACCGCAGCCUGGAGCCCAGAGCAGAGCAAAGACAAGAGCCAAACUCACUGGCUUUACACCUGCUUGCCAUGCUGGGUCUGAACCGAAGUGCUGUAAGACAAACCAUACUCGCUCUGUGCUGCUCAGUACCAGGAAAACCCCCGCAGAUGUCUUCAGCCAUUUAAAGGCUGCUUUGUGCUUAGAGAAAUCUGGCCUUUAGAAUAUGAACAUUUUGUUUUGUUUUCGUUUCUUUUCUAUAAAUGAUGGCUUCUUGCUGAGAAAAUUUGAUUGAUUGAGGCAACCUAAAAAAAUCCCACGCAACUCAGUUGCCCAGUCACACACUGGUUGUCAAAGAGCGAUGAAUCAGAGAGGACAGUUCAUGAGCUGAACGCUUCACUGCGCCCUUCAGCAACUUCGUUAAAACAAUCCGGUUUGGUUUACAGAAUGAUACAUAAAGAGCAGCACCAUAUAUAUCAAAUACUGCCUACAAACGAACACAGCUGAAACUAGGCUGCUUCAACUGGGCUUCACUUGAAUUGAAGCCCCAGCAUGCAACACCGAGGCCAAAGAGAAAAGAAAAAGGCACAAAAUGAAACAAAUGAAGCAACGCAGCUCGGAUCACACCAGCCCAGUCCUGCCCUAGGUAAAUACACAACUGCAGCUCACCUCAUCUACAGGGCUAAACGCUAAUUCACGCAGCUACAUAUGGGAGAGGCAUGCUUUUUUGCACAGACUCAGCCUUCACAAUGGACACAAUUUGUUCACAAAUAGGACCUCCAGUUGCUCAAUUUAAGAUUCCAUAUGCUGUUCCUGCUGAUAAUGAGAUUUUAAAGAUUAUGAGAUAAACUAACUUGUCGUUCUGAUUCAAAAAGCAAGGAAAUAAGACCGAGUGCUAUAAAAUCAUCUGGCUUGUCCUGUGCCAGGACGCUGUUUAGGUUACAUGAAUACCUGGCACUGCCUGCGCGGUCCCGUGCCUAUGGACACCACCACGUACGGCUCUCACGCACACGUGAGGGGCAGGCUCGUCCUCGGAACAAGAGGAUAGGAACAUGCGAGACACCCAACAACUGCUCUCGUUGUGAACAAAGGGAGGAAGCGUUCCAGUACUCAAUAGCACGUUGUUUUUAUUUCCUCAGCCAUUUAAAUGGAACUGCUUUUCAUUUAUUCCUGAAGUGUGUUUGUGUCUGCAUUAGAUGGUGUUGUUAAGCUGUCUGGAUGCGCCAUCAUGACAAGCGUGAGUCUCUCCAGUCCCGUAACGAGCUCACAGCUGCCAGGGAAGCGCAGCACAGGCAGGACUUGGGAAAAUGGGAAAAUCUCGCCAGUGGCAAUUUAAGACUUGGGGAUGAGGGAGGUUUAAUGAUGGAAAAGGAUGAAACUGACAUAACUGAGAGCUGGAGAA